GUCCUUGUCGAUUAGUGGUUAGAUCAUGACGUUGUGGAACUGGAAAUUUAUCUAGAUUGUAAUACCGUCAAGACGGAGGUUCGACUUCUCCCUGGGACA